UACAGAGGGGGCAAGCGUUAUUCGGAAUUAUUGGGCGUAAAGGGCGCGUAGGCGGCCUUGCAAGUGACGGGUGAAAUCCCUCGGCUUAACCGAGGAACUGCCUGUCAGACUGCAUGGCUUGAGACCGGGAGAGGUGAGUGGAAUUCCCAGUGUAGCGGUGAAAUGCGUAGAUAUCGUAAGGAAGACCAGUGGCGAAGGCGGGUCUCUGGACAGUUCCUGACGCUGAGGCACGAAGGCCAGGGGAGCAAACGGG
rnacentral:rRNA from 1 species